ensembl:lincRNA
AGAUCCACAAGGUGGAGGUGGCAGUAGUGCUGGAUUCCACUGCUUUGGAGCCUGCCCAGUCGAAUUCGGGAGCCAGCGAGGGUCCUGACAGCAGCACAUUGGCCACCAGAAGACACCCAAAGGGAGAGGAGCUGAAGACCUUCUGGUGUGGGCUGGGCUACAAUUCACUUGCAGGAGAAACAGCCCGGAUGUGGAGAGGUGGCCAUCCUUGGCGGGAUCCUUUCUAAAGAGCCAAGAAAUCAACAUAGAGCUUCUUCUAUCUGAUUCUCUAACUGCAGACCUUCCAUGAGUCAAGCUUUGUGUCAAAAGGACAAAUUAAAAGGACCUAUAAAUGGCACCACCCAGCCCAAUGGACAGAUGCCCCAGGCUGCACAUUCUGUCAGUGCUGUUCUCCAAGAGGCCCAGACACACACUGAAACAUCCAAGGAUAGGAAGCCAGCCCUCGGGAACCACCAGGAGCCAGGAGCACCCCCGGCCCCACAUGGCCCCAAGUCCACCCUGCCCCCCACUCUGUUGCAGAGGUCCUGGGACACCAUCUGCAGCCCAGUCACGCCCCGCAAGGCCAAGAGCACUGACGGCGGGGGUUUCCCCGCCCCGCCCGACGACUUCCUGCCCACUGCCACGGCUGCCUCCACUGAACGACACAGAGCUGCCGCCACACCCGCUGGAGGAUCCAGAGCUCCUGCCACCGCCCGUGGACUUCAUGGAGCCGCCCGCCCCCGGACUUCGUGCCCGCUCCCCCAGCGGUCGUCAAGAGGCCUCCUAUGCCCCACCCUCCCAACAGGCGCGGAGCUUCAAUGUUCAGAACCAACACAUGAAUAAAACAAAUGAAUAAAUGUUAAACGUUCUUCCUACUGUAUUUAUACAAAGAUUACCGGGUCAGUAGAUCUGGAGGUCAACACUAUAAUUAAAAAUAGCUUUCACCAUCCCAUGCCGCCUUAAGUCUUGGUGACCUUAGAUUUUCAUCUCUACCUCUG